AUGAGCACCCCUUUGGAUCUGUUGGGCCUGGUGAUGCAAGAUACAAUGGGCCGAAUGACCCCCAUGACGCUGAGCAUAACCCACGAUGCUGAGCCACCGGCAAACGCCACCCUGGCCCAAAUUGAGGGGAAUGACGCUGAGAGACUGGCUGCUCGACCCACGGGACAGCCAUCAUCGCCAUCAGAUAUUGAGCGGCUCCUCUCCCGUGUGACCACUCCCCUGUCGCCGCCGCUGCUAGACACUCCCGGCACCGCGCCGCCACAGAAAAAGCGCGCUAGCUGCUCAGCGGCCACCGCCACUCGCCGCAGCCACAGGCUAUUAGGAAGGAAGAUUGACAUCACCGGUGGAGGAAAUCCCUCAAUGCGCCUCGCCCGACGCCUUAUCAUCAGCAAGAGGGGUCUGGCAAUCGCCGAGCCUGGAGAGGAGGAAGAGGAGGAGGUGCUCGAGCGCUACAAGCUAACAUUCAAGAAGCCCCUAACUGAACAGCAGAUCCAGGCGCUCCAGGCAGCAGAUCCAGGCGCUCCAGGCACUCGCCACAGGCUAUUGGGACUCGAACGAUUGUGCCUAGUUCAAUCCAAAGCUCAUUUAUAG
rnacentral:rRNA from 1 species